rnacentral:rRNA from 1 species
GGGAUGAGCUCAAAUUUGAAAUCUGGCGUCUUUCAGGCGUCCGAGUUGUAAUCUAUAGAGGCGUUUUCCGCGCCGGACCGCGUCCAAGUCUCUUGGAAUAGAGUAUCAAAGAGGGUGACAAUCCCGUACUUGACGCGACAACCGGUGCUCUGUGAUACGUUCUCAACGAGUCGAGUUGUUUGGGAAUGCAGCUCUAAAUGGGUGGUAAAUUCCAUCUAAGGCUAAAUAUUGGCGAGAGACCGAUAGCGAACAAGUACCGUGAGGGAAAGAUGAAAAGCACUUUGGAAAGAGAGUUAAACAGCACGUGAAAUUGUUAAAAGGGAAACGAUUGAAGUCAGUCGUGUGAAAGGUAUUCAGCCGUCUCUGGCGGUGUAUUUGCCUUUCACGGGUCAACAUCAGUUUAGUCCGGUAGAAAAAGGCUGGAGGAAGGUGGCACCCUCGGGUGUGUUAUAGCCUCCUGUCACAUGUGCCGGAUUAGACUGAGGAACGCAGCUUGCCGCAAGGCCGGGGUUCGCCCACGUACAAGCUUAGGAUGUUGACAUAAUGGCUUUAAACGACCCG